CAAUGCAUUUAAACUUAGUACGUGUUUAUGCAUUCGAGAAAUAAUCAAAUGUUUCAUGUUUGAAUGUCUAGAUGCACACUACCAAAAAUGCGAUUUUUGUUUUUUUGUAGCACCAGUAGAAAAGUAACACCAUUUUUGUGUGAAGCCCAGCUAUCUUAUAUGCAAAUAAUUUAGCCCAUGUUGAUAAGAAUGUGCUCGGACUAUGGUUACAAAUGCUCUUCCUUCGUUUGGUUUCAAAACCAGAAAAUUAAAUUUGGAUGCCGAGGAUAGGGGCAAGUACAUUCAAGAUUUGCAUGCUCGAUUGAAGAUCAAUAUUGAAAAGAAGGUUGAACACUAUGUCAAAAGUCCCAACAAGACAAAAAAAAAAAGAAAAAAGAAUGGUGUUUGAACCCAAUGAUUGAGUUUAGGUACACUUUAGGAAGGAAAUAUUUAUUUCCUUCUCUUAGGAAGUCCAAACUUCAACAAAGAGGUGAUGUUCAUUUUCAAGAGGUGAAGCGCAUUAAUGGCAAUGCAUAUAAGCUUGAUCUUCAUGGUGAGUAUAAUGUACGUGCUACUUUUAAUGUUAACAGCUUAUCUUCUAUUGUAGGUGAUGAGUCAUUAAAUUCGAGAACGAAUUCUCUUAAAGAUGAAAAGUAUAAUAAGGAUCAAAGAACAAACUAUAAUAGUCAAAAAAUGGAUAUCAAAAGGGUUUGUGGUCCGAUGACAAGGGCUAUAAUGGAUAAAUUAAGAGAAAAUCUUGAAGAACAAAUUUCUUUAUAUUUGGACGCCAAGAUCAUUUCACACUACCUUACUCUUGUUUUACUGAAUUUUAAUUUGUAAUAAUAUUUAGUUUUAAGUUUAGGUUGUUUGUAUUUUGAAGUUGUAUGUUUUUCUAUGUUUACUAGUCUUGCUAUUGAGUUUUU